UGGGGAAUAUUGGACAAUGGGCGAAAGCCUGAUCCAGCCAUGCCGCGUGUGUGAAGAAGGUCUUCGGAUUGUAAAGCACUUUAAGUUGGGAGGAAGGGCAGUUACCUAAUACGUGAUUGUUUUGACGUUACCGACAGAAUAAGCACCGGCUAACUCUGUGCCAGCAGCCGCGGUAAUACAGAGGGUGCAAGCGUUAAAUCGGAAUUACUGGGCGUAAAGCGCGCGUAGGUGGUUAGUUAAGUUGGAUGUGAAAUCCCCGGGCUCAACCUGGGAACUGCAUUCAAAAACUGACUGACUAGAGUAUGGUAGAGGGUGGUGGAAUUUCCUGUGUAGCGGUGAAAUGCGUAGAUAUAGGAAGGAACACCAGUGGCGAAGGCGACCACCUGGACUGAUACUGACACUGAGGUGCGAAAAGCGUGGGGAGCAAAACAGGAUUAGAUACCCUGGUAGUCCACGCCGUAAAACGAUGUCAACUAGC
rnacentral:rRNA from 1 species